rnacentral:rRNA from 2 species
GAGUUUGAUCUUGGCUCAGAUUGAACGCUGGCGGCAUGCCUUACACAUGCAAGUCGAACGGCAGCACGGGAGCUUGCUCCUGGUGGCGAGUGGCGAACGGGUGAGUAAUGCAUCGGAACGUAUCCUGGAGUGGGGGAUAACGUAGCGAAAGUUACGCUAAUACCGCAUAUUCUGUGAGCAGGAAAGCGGGGGACCUUCGGGCCUCGCGCUCUUGGAGCGGCCGAUGUCGGAUUAGCUAGUUGGUGAGGUAAAGGCUCACCAAGGCGACGAUCCGUAGCAGGUCUGAGAGGAUGAUCUGCCACACUGGAACUGAGACACGGUCCAGACUCCUACGGGAGGCAGCAGUGGGGAAUUUUGGACAAUGGGGGCAACCCUGAUCCAGCCAUGCCGCGUGAGUGAAGAAGGCCUUCGGUUG